UCAGAGCGCACCGCACCCUGAGGUCACCCAAAGCCACUCCCGCUGGAGACUCACAAUUAAAGGUGAAACGCAGACUGGAAUGCGAGUAACAUGAGACCACAGGCUGACGGAGGGAAACUGAAACGCGUCGGCAGGUGGAGAGAAACAUGUGUGGGAGAGAUAAGGCCUGGUUCCUGCAGGUUCCAUUUCCUAAGAGCUGCGUCCUUGGGACUUGCUGGGACUUGAGGCAGACGAGCUGAUAAUCAGGAAAGUUACUACGAAGAUCAUGUGACGCAGAGUUCAUUAGCCCAAGCUGGAGGUUUGCUGUCGUAGGGAACAGGAUCUCUGGCUGCGGAUGGAGACGCAGCUUCUUGCCGAUGCUCC